GCGGGUAUAGCUCAAUGGUAGAGCAGCAGCCUUCCAAGCUGAAUACGCGGGUUCGAUUCCGCUACCCGCUCCA
rnacentral:tRNA from 1 species